GACGUCACAGCGCUGGAAUCCGAGGAAUGCCGGGCUGCAGGAGCUCCUUCUGCAGGCCCGGGGGAAGUCGCGCACUUUUAAUGUGGUGGCUUUGGAGAAGGUUUUCAAAGUGCCACAGAAUCGCCCCACCCAGCCUGGGUAGGCACUGGGAGGGAACUUCCUUAGCAUUUUCGGAGGUGGAGUUAAAGAGACGCAGCUGGUAAGAUGGAACAGGCACCGAGCCAGGCCGGGGAACCCGGGUUUUCGGACCUGACCUGUGAACAGGAGCCAGGAAAUGGAUGGGAGUACAGAUAAAGCAAAGAUGGCAAGGAGUUGAUGACAGCGGAAGCUCACUGAUGGAUACAUGGGAGUUCAUUAUACUAAUUGGUUAAUUUUGUAUAAGUGUGAAAUAAUAAAGUUAAAAGCCUAAUAAUAAUAAAAAGUUUAAAAGGAAAAAUAUAUUAUAAAAACAAUAUGUCCUCAUUUCAAAUAAUAUUGAAGUACAUAAUGAAAAGAUGGGUUGCCUGUUUUCACUUCCCAUUUUCAUAUUAACAUUCCCUGGAGGUAAUCACUUUAAUUCUAUACUGAUACAGACCAAGGCUUUAUGCUUUAUUUUAUAGAUAUAUAUGUUAAG